rnacentral:rRNA from 1 species
AACGAACGCUGGCGGCAUGCCCAACACAUGCAAGUCGAACGAGACCUUCGGGUCUAGUGGCGCACGGGUGCGUAACGCGUGGGAACCUGCCCUUAGGUUCGGAAUAACUCCCCGAAAGGGGUGCUAAUACCGGAUAAUGUCUUCGGACCAAAGAUUUAUCGCCUUUGGAUGGGCCCGCGUUGGAUUAGCUAGUUGGUAGGGUAAAAGCCUACCAAGGCGACGAUCCAUAGAUGGUCUGAGAGGCUGAUCAGCGACACUGGGACUGAGACACGGCCCAGACUCCUACGGGAUGCAGCAGUGGGUAAUAUUGGACCAUGGGCUAAAGCCUGAUCCUGCUAUGCCGCUUGAGUGAUGUAGGCCUUAGGGUUGUAAAGCUCUUUUACCCGGGAUGAUAAUGACAGUACCGGGAGAAUAAGCUCCGGCUAACUCCGUG